ACCUAAAUUUUCUCUCUUUUAGUUUAAACCCAUUACCUCUUGUCCUGACAGGACAACAUGUGACAGGACAACAUUCUACCUACAUGUGAAAAGUUGGUCCCCUUGCUGCUUGUGAACUCCUUUCAAGUACUGGAAGAUCACAAUGAGGUCUCCCUGGAGCCUUCUCUUCACCUGCUGGAGGUGACUUCUGAGUGAGCACGUUAACUGUUGGUCAAGAACCUUUCCAAAAUUGUAGUUGAGCUUCCUUUACAGAGAAAAACUAAGGAUGUUUAAAUUGGUGCAGAAGAGGCCCAUGUCACAGAGGUGGCAAACACAUGGUGCUGAAGGUGCAGCUGAGGAGUUUGAGCUGGGCAGCUGCAGCAUGGAGGAAGUGCUGCUUUCUGGGUUGCACAGCUAACACUUGGAUGACUUUGGGUUCUUCUAAGUCCUCCCAUGAGUGACUGUUUUCUGCGACUCAGCUCCCAUAUCUGCUAGGAGAACAACAGUGUGUUUGUCAACCCACGGGAGUGAAAGAGUCAGCUCUGCUAAAUGCUGCAACCUCUUUGGCUGGACAGUGUUGUGGACAGUGUCUCUUCAGUUGAGGGAGAAUUUUGCAGUGGCUGCUUCAAGAUUCACACCAGAGGACCCGAGAGCAGCAGGCUCAACCAUGCAGGUGCCAAUGGGAGGCACAGCAAGAAUAGAGGCUUGAAUGCAUAAACCAAGGUGAGAUUCAGGAGCAGGAAUCACAGCUGGGCUGCUGCUCCAUACCCAGAAUGGCAUGCCAUUAUGUUUUUCAUCUUCUUCCUUUGAGCUGGGUGAGAAGUGCUUCAACUCUUUGUGAGCUUCUGUUCAACCAUUACCACACCUGGCUUAGCGGGUAUGAGUUAGAGUCUCUCCUGCUUUCUUUGGGGGUGCAAGCUCAGUAGGGAGCCACUGAUAAAGUGGUGCAAUUCUCCUUACAAGUUAGGAACUUCUGAGGGUUACUGCUCAUGGGCUGUCUUGCUCGCAUUUUUACAGCACCUGAUGUUGUCAUAGCUGAUAGAUUGAUUAUUCAGUGGUUGAACAUAGACAAAUUAUUUUACUGUAUGACUGUUUGAUCUAGGAGAUAGCAGAGUCCUGAAUUUCCACCUAAUACACUUUUAUCUCAUCCUGAGUCUGCUGCUAGAGGUGGCUUUGCCAGCAGAGGCACAGUGUGGUGGUCUUCUCUAGUGAUGGAGUUUUGAUGCACUGUGCCAGGGUCCCAGGUUAGGAGCGCUGGCACAGAAGAGGGUAAUGCUCCAUUUUUCUGCAUGCAUUAUGCCUAUUUUCACCAGCCAAGAAGGUGUAGUGAGCAAAACUGUUAGAAAAACAAAAUAUAUUCAUCAAUAGUUUAUGCAUCACUGGUGAAUGAAUUAUUUGUAAGCACCAGUGCACUGUUCUCCAUAGAAGAGCUAUAAAACCCUGGCUUGACUUACCAAGCCCUGGCCAAGCCUUCCUUGCUCGUUUACACACUCUCUAUAGCGUUUCCUUUUUCCAUUGCUUUAUUCAUAAGAUGGUGAUUUUUAUCGCUCUCUACUCAGUAAUAAUGUGGUUCCUAUCCUCCUUGCUAGAAGAAAUUUCUUAUUCUUUUUAUUACAUAUAAUCAUUCUUUCCUUAAUUUAUAGCAUGUCAUGUAUUAUUCAGUGACAUCUCUUGGCUCUGAUUACAGGUUCUAUAUAAUCUUACAAACUUCAAAAAUGAUUGUUUAAAUUACAAUAAAAUAAUAUCCAGC
ensembl:lncRNA